AUGUACCACUCGUACACUCCGGCUCUGAACGCGCCGCCCGCACCCAUCCGACGACCGCUCGCUACGUCUUGUUAGAC
rnacentral:sRNA from 1 species